AGUGAACGCUGGCGGUAGGCCUAACACAUGCAAGUCGAACGGCAGCACAGUAAGAGCUUGCUCUUACGGGUGGCGAGUGGCGGACGGGUGAGGAAUACAUCGGAAUCUACUUUUUCGUGGGGGAUAACGUAGGGAAACUUACGCUAAUACCGCAUAUGACCUACGGGUGAAAGCAGGGGAUCUUCGGACCUUGCGCGAUUGAAUGAGCCGAUGUCGGAUUAGCUAGUUGGCGGGGUAAAGGCCCACCAAGGCGACGAUCCGUAGCUGGUCUGAGAGGAUGAUCAGCCACACUGGAACUGAGACACGGUCCAGACUCCUACGGGAGGCAGCAGUGGGGAAUAUUGGACAAUGGGCGCAAGCCUGAUCCAGCCAUACCGCGUGGGUGAAGAAGGCCUUCGGGUUGUAAAGCCCUUUUGUUGGGAAAGAAAAGCAGCAGGCUAAUACCCCGCUGUUCUGACGGUACCCAAAGAAUAAGCACCGGCUAACUUCGUG
rnacentral:rRNA from 1 species